rnacentral:lncRNA from 1 species
CACUUAACUGAAUGGCUGCUAACUAAAUAUUUUGGGGGCCAGAGCCUUCCCAGGUAGCAGCUGGAGCAUCUCCGUGCCGGAACUGAGACAUCAAGCGCGAGCCGGGCAUCGACAGAUUGUUAGAGCCCAUGGAAUACCAAUGAUAAUUGCUGACAUUGGAGUGAUCACUUUAUGCCAAGCACUGUGAGAAGCCCUUUACAUGAAUUUUUUCAUCUAAUCCUACAACCCCCCUU